AGGCAAAGGGAAAAAAAACCCAGUGCAGUCGGGCUAAGUACCAGCUGCUGGCUGCUGCCCUACAAGUUUCCCAGACCAGUCAACGGGGACCUGCAAAGAUCCCUUCAGGUCCCUGUUUUCUAGGGACUGCCAGUCCCCCAAACCACCAUCAGGGCCCUGCCCUCUGUGCAAGCAGAAGGGACACUGGAAGGUAGACUGUCCUCCCUCCUCUCAGCGUGGGAGGCCAGUCCCCUCCUCCCUUCCCACGAGGGAAUCCGGUCCGUCUCUGCCUGACCUAUUGGGCCUAGCUCCGGAAGGGUGAUGGUGCCCUGGGAUGUUGGCCCCUUUGCCCAUCACAUCAAAGGUGCCCAGGGUAACAAUCCACAUGGCAGGACCUACCUGGCUUGAGCUGACCAGGAUUGCAGAACAUCCUUCUCCCAUGGCCGAAACCUCACAAUAGACUUGGCUGCCAUGGCAAUCGUCACUGCUCCUAAAGAACCAGCACUCUGGGAGUUCCAUGUACACCAAGAAUGGCAGUGUUGGCAAAAGCAUGGCCAACUGGGGUGCCACAGGGCCUCCCGUGCUGUGCCAACUUCCCAGCCGGUGCCCACUCCCACCAAAACUUUGACCCUGAUCAGCAGGAAGUAGAUAUGGAAGAAGAGACCACUACCCCAGUUCCAUAACAAAUCAAAGGCUGGCAUGUUAGGUAUUUCAGAGCCCCCACAGAGCAAGCCCCCUCCUCUCCUUUCCCCCUGCCCCACUCCUGCCACAGGGAACUUCCACAUAACUAAGGCAUGACCUCUCUUUGUCAGUGACUCUCGGCCUAGUUAAGGACUUUCUACCCCACCGGUCUCAUGGUCAGAUAUUCCCGUAAGAUAGGGGCUUCCUGGAAACUGUUACAACACGCCCCUCCCCCAACCAAAACUUGUUGCCACAUACCCCAGCCCCAAUCACCCACCCCCACCAAUGGCCUAGUGCUCUCCCACCUGCAAAAUCCUAUAUAAGCCUCCAGCUCAGCCCAUGUAGGCUGCUGGUCUCCAUUCUGUGAGUCAGUCCAGCAGGCUGCAGACUGCUGCCCCAAUAAAGCUUGCUGCCUG
ensembl:lncRNA